CAGAUCUGGCUCCACUCGCUCGCGCGCCUCGCUCCGCUUCCUUUCGCAACCAUGUCUGACAAACUCGAUAUGGCUGAGAUUGAGAAAUUCGAUAAGUCGAAAUUGAAGAAGACAGAAGCGCAAGAGAAAAAUCCACUGCCUUCAAAAGAAACGAUUGAACAGGAGAAGCAAGCAGGCGAAUGGUAAUGAGGCA